rnacentral:rRNA from 1 species
CGGCGGAUCACUCGGCUCGUAGGUCUAUGAAGAACGCAGCUAACUGCGAUAAUUAGUGUGAACUGCAGAAACCAUGAACACAAAACUUUCGAAUGCACAUUGCGCCAUUGGAAUCUUGUCCUUUGGCACGCCUGGUUCAGGGUCGUAA